rnacentral:lncRNA from 1 species
AAUUGCAAAUCUUAGUCACCUGGUCAACCUACUUCUAGCAGGGAACAAGCUUUCUGGAUCAAUACAUUCUUCUUUAUUUACUCUUCCAUCGUUGAAGAACCUGUAUCUUGGAGCCAAUCAAUUGGUUGGGAAAAUUGAUGAGUUCCCCAAUGCAUCUUCUUCUUCGAUUGAGAGAUUAUAUAUUAGCUAUAAUUAUUUAACAGGACCAAUCCCAAAGUCAAUCCUCCAACUUCCAAGGCUUGAAGUGCUUGAGAUCGGAGAAAAUAGCUUCAGUUCCCUGAAGCUUGACAUGUUUGUCCAACUCAAGAACUUAAAGGGUCUCGACUUAUCCAACGUAAGCUUGUUAAUUGAAAGCGACAACAGAAGUCUUACUUUUCCCCAAUUAGAGAGCCUAAGCCUAAGGUUAUGCAAUCUUACUGAAUUUCCAGAAUUCAUUAAAAGGCAAGGCAAGUUGGUUGACUUAGAUCUUUCUAACAAUCAUAUCCAUGGUGUUGUGCCUAAUUGGUUGUGGAAGAGCAGUCUUUCAUCCUUAGACCUUUCUUUCAAUGUGAUUGAUUUUCCAAAACAACUUCCUUUAAGUGAUGCAAACUUCUUUUUCCCAAUGUUGAGGCGAUUGUGUUUGAGGUCCUGUAACAUAAGUGCGUUUCCAGAGUUCUUAAAGAGUCAAGAAAAUUUAGAAUAUCUCGAACUUUCAAAUAAUAAAAUAAGUGGUGCAAUACCAAACUGGGUGUGGAAGAAAAGUUUGCGGUAUCUGUUUCUUGCUAAUAACCAUCUCUCAUCUUUGGACCAACUUUUACCCAAUCAGAGUUCAACUUCUUCACAGGGCUCUUUCAUUUUCGACACAUCUUCUAACAAUUUGAGUGGCCCAAUUCCAAAUUGGUUAUGCAAUAUGAGUCAACUUUACAGAUUCAAUGCAUCUUAUAACAAUUUUAGUGGCUCAAUUCCAAAUUGCUUGGACAAUAUGAGCCAACUUGACACUGUCGAUGUAUCUUAUAACAAUUUGAGUGGCCCAAUUCCAAAUUGCUUGGGCAAUAUGAGUGCUCUGAUGUGGUUGGGUUUGCAAGGAAAUAACUUCAGUGGAAUGAUACCAAAAUUUUCAAAAGCAACCCAACUGCGGUUUCUCAAAGUUAGUGAGAAUAGAUUGGAAGGGAAGUUGCCCAGAUCAUUAGCUGAAUGCACUCAGCUUGAAGUUUUGGACGUGGGAAACAACAAGAUGAAUGAUACAUUCCCUUUUUGGUUGGAGAAAUUGCCUUACUUGACGGUUCUAAUAUUGCGGGAAAACAGAUUUUAUGGUCAAAUUAAACAUUUCAAACAUAAAUCUGUUUUCCCAACUUUGGAUGUAUUGGACAUUGCUUCAAACCAGUUUUCUGGUGAACUAUCCAUUGAUUUCCUUCAACCCACUAGACUAAGGUCACUCAAAAUAGGUGGGAAUAAAUUGGAAGGGAAGCUGUCGAGAUCAUUAGCCAAUUGCACAGCACUUGAGGUUCUGGACCUUGGAAAUAAUAUGGUUCAUGAUACAUUCCCAUUUUGGUUAGAGAAGCUACCUUCCUUGAAGGUUCUCAUUUUGCGAGCAAACAGAUUCUACGGCACAAUUACAGAAUUCAACACAGAACGUGGGUUUCCAAAGCUACGCAUUUUGGACAUUGGUUCCAACAAAUUUUCAGGCGACUUGUCCGUUGAAUUUUUGCAAAGCUUGAAGGCAAUGAUGCAGAUAACAAAUGAGGAUAAAGCUAAGCGGGUUUACAUUGGGGACGACUAUUAUCAAGACUCUGUGACAAUUGUUAACAGAGGGAUUGAAAUGUUCUACCAAAGAGUCUUGACAAUUCUUACUUGUCUUGACCUUUCCAACAAUAGUUUCCAUGGGAGAAUACCAGAAGAAAUACAAAUGCUGAGGUCACUCAGAGUGAUGAACUUAUCCAACAAUGGCUUCUCUAGUGAAAUCCCAUUAGCACUUCAAAAUCUAAAAGACCUCGAAUCUUUGGAUCUCUCAAGAAACAAGCUGUCAGGGAAGAUUCCUCCACAACUUACAAGUCUAACUUUCCUGGCAGCAUUGAACUUGUCAUACAACCAACUUGAAGGGAGCAUACCACAAAGCAACCAAUUCAUUACAUUUACAAAUGAUUCCUACCGUGGGAACCCAAAAUUGUGUGGGCUGCCAUUGUCAAGGAAAUGCAAUGAAGUUGGUCUUCCAAUGCCACCACCUCCAGUGGAAGAUGAAGAUUCAUGGUUAAAUGCUCUGUCUACUUGGAAAAUUGCAUUGAUAGGUUAUGCUAGCGGAUUAGUCGUUGGGCUAUGUAUUGGAUAUACAGUGCUGAAUGAGUUGGGAAACAAAUGGGUUUACAAGUUCAAGUGUGGGAAAAGAAAUAGAAGAAGAUGUAGGUGACUCCAUCAGAAUUCUUGCUUCAAAAUUAGCUGGUAAGCAUUUGUCUUUCUACUUUGAACUGAUAGUUGUUGAUAUAUAUAUAUAUAGGUUUUCAUAACCUCAUUUUUUGCUGUCAUUACCAAGUUCACUAUCAUAUCGUACUUGUAAUUUUAUGUUACCAUUGAGCAAUGCAGGAGGUACUUGAAGCAGGACAUGGAAUGUACAGUUGUGAGGUUCAUGAAGAAUGUAGGCAAUGAUCCUAACAAGAUCAAUCCACUGGUUUGUAAUUUUGCUUUAUAUGCACUUUUUUCCUGUUGUAGUUUUCUAUGAGUAUAAAUAAGUGUUUAUUCAUUUUGCAUCCAGGUCCCUGUGGAUUUGGGGGAUGCAAUGUUUCACUGCUACUGAAUUUCCAAGCUAAUAAUGAUAUUAUAAACAGGGAAAUGGCUGCCCAAGCUUUCUUUUAUAUGCAAUUUACUUCAAUUUUUUUAUCUUUAGAAUAUUUGUACAGCUGAGGAGAUUUGAUGGCAUGAUGUUGAUGAAAGCCAUAUCUGAUGGACAUUGGACUGAUUGUGUAAAGAGACGCAGAUGCUGCUACUCCCAUCCUUUGCUCUUCCAAACAGACGUGAGUUUUAUAUUUUAUGAAUCACGUGUUGGGCUUUAGGACCGGGUGUAAAGGGUGGACCUGUUGGUCCGGGUUUUAGUUCAGCCCGUCACUUAUUUUUAUACUAGUUUAUUUAUACUUUCAAUGAUAGUUUUAUUAAUUUAAAAAAUAUGGUUGAAUUAAGUAAUAAUAUGAUAAAAUAAUAAUAAUUAAAAUUUAAUGAAAUAAAUUAUGUCUUAACUUUCCAAUGUUAGCGAAAGGCCAACAAUAUCUCACCUUAUUAUUUUCUUUGUUAAUCCAAAAUUAAAAAGUUCAAAUUAGAAUGUGAUUUAGAGUUUGAAGACUUAAUUAAAUUUUUUUGAAGUUUAGAGUUCAAUUUAACAUAUAAUCCAUAGUUUAGGGACAUCAAGUGAAUUAACCCUUUGAUAAAUCCUAACAUAUUCAUAAGUUGCAUACUCAUUAAUAAAUUAGGACUAAAAUGCUUAUUGGUAAAUUGAUUUCACAUAUAAGUUAAUAUAUUUUUGGGUGCUAUACCAAAGUUUAAUUAAAAGAUUUUAAUGGUACACUUUUACAUUUUAAAAAUUUAAAUUAUAUAUAAACAAUUAUGAUAUAAAAUCGAGACGGCCCACAUCUAAAAUAUUUUAAGCAUCAAAUACAUGAAAAAAAAAAUUCUAAACCCAAAUAUUUUAAGCAUUCGAAACAUUGGCAUUGGCAUCAAUUAGAACACUUGGAUUGGAUAAUGAAAAAAAAAAAAUCCAAACCCAUCUAUUUAACAACGGUAUGUUUAUUAUAUGAUUUUCAAUACAAAAUCAGAUAAUUAAUCGGACACUGUUGAGUUAACUAAUACUUACAAUGUUCAAUUAAAUGAUUUUUUCCAAAAAAAAUUAAUUGUUUAUAUUUCGAAUCCAAUUCAACCAAUAAAAAGCCAGUUAUAUUUGAAUGCGAAUGCAAAGCAGUGGAUAUAACGUAAGGGACUCAAUCCAAUUUGGCAUUCUAAAUGAUGUCUUAAUUACAAUGUGGUACGCUUUCCAGAGUUGGCAAACAACCUAAAGCACUUGUUUAAUUUAUCUUUGAAAAGUGAUAAAAAUAUUAAUAACUAAAAUUAAAAAACUGCAAGAACCAUUAUCUUUCACAAAUUAUUCAAAAUCAUAUGGUAUUUGUAGUCGUUGGCUUAUAUUUUGAAAAGAUUGAUGUUACAAACUAACUCUGAAUUUCCUAAGCUUAUUUUUUGUCCCUUGACACACUUCGCUAUCAUAUGGUAUUUGUAGUCGUAGGCUUGUAGCAUUGACAUUCAUUUUAUCAUUUCGCAAUGCAAGAGGUACUGAAACAGGCUAAGCUGAAACGGCUCAUUAGGUUUGCUACUCCAAAAGACUCUUCGAAAAGAGCAAUGAAAGAAGCGACAAAAGGGUCCUUGGCUGUUUGUGAUGAUGCACUUACAUAUACUCACUUCUAUACGAUUCAUGUAAAUCCUUUCUAUAACUUAUUUCCUAGGAAGCAUUCCUCUAUUAGAGCAACUAAUCCAUAAUUCUUAAAUCCAGAUACUGUAAUUGGUUUUUUUUUUUUUUCUCUCGAUUUUGUAGCAGGGGCCAAACUCCCCAAUGUCUUGGCUACCAAUCUUCUUUAAUUUAAUCGAACUCAUUUAUGGUAAGGAUGAGUUUUGGAAUGCUCUAUGAAUAUUGUGAGUUGAACAUGAGCAGCAUACUUGAUAUGCAAAAUCUAAUAUCAAGAAUCUCCCUUGUGAGGUUCAUUUUUGCUUCAAUUCACAGCCAUUUGGGGUACGUAAUUUGUCUCUAGCACUGAACUUUCAUGCCAAAUAAUGCUAUAUUAUAAACAAGGAUCAUGGCUUUUCCAAGCCUUCUUUAAUAUGAAUUUACUCUUUAGUUCAGAAUUUUAUUUUCAAAUUAUUUUUGUGCAGCUUGGAAGAUAAUAUGACGAGUUGAUGUUGAUGAAAGCCACAUUUAACACCGUGAUUCUGCAAAGAGACACCACUGCUAGAUGUGCCUCUUUGAAACAGGACAAGCUCAAGCAAAGAUCGUUAACUUUAUCUUUGAAAACAAUGGUAAAAGUUUCUAACUAAUUAUCUUUUCCUUGACAUCUUCUUUAAUCAUGCUUGAAUUAAGUUUAAGCAUAUGAAAGACAUGAUUGUUGGUAGAUAAAUGAGAAGCUUCAUGUUCUAAUUUUCAGGCUAAUGGUCUAAGAAGACAGUAAGGCGUGUUGAUUGCAGUUUGUUAUCUAUUCUAUGGAAAAGAAAACGUGCAUUGCCAACAUAAAGUACAGAAAGGAUAUGCAUAAGGUGCAAAGGCUUAUCACCGAAGCAAGUCUACAGCUUGUUUAAGGCGGCUCAUGUUCUCUUACAUGUAAUUUGCAUGAAAUCUUAUUAUCUUAGGAUUAUACUGGAGUGCCACCAGCAGUUGACCUCACUAGCAUGUGAGACACUGUUAAGAAUCUUGACAAUGAUCUUAACAAGAUUAUUCCACUAGUUUGUAAUUUUCCCUCUAUAUUUUACCAGUAGUAUAUAACUUAUUUACUUCUAUAUCUUGCAAUUUAUGCAGCCCCCGAGCAUGGUAUAGCUUGGUGUUGGUAGAUUCACAUUGUCCAAGAACUUACAAGAUGUUGAGAAAGCAUAGUGUUGGCAAAAUUUUUGAGUUUUAUGGUUAAGUCUAUGAUCAUAAAUCUUAAGAAUAGAAUGAUUUUACUAUAAAAAAUUUCAGGUUUAUAGGACUUUAUCAUCAAUGUAACUAUUUUUAAUGUGGUUAUAGGAGAGGGUGUGGCUGAAUUAUCAUUAGCUAAUCAUGGUCGAGCCAUAGUUGCAGACAUGGGACCUGAAUAAUGUGCAACCAUGGGUUGUCUUUCCUGUGGAUCAUACAGCCUUGCAAUUCCUUAAUUUAACCAGCAGGAGUGGUGACACAGUUCAUUCUCCGUCCAUUUUAUGCGUGGUGAUGACUCCAACAAGGUUUUAUGUUAUUAUUGCUACUAUUUUGUCUUUUUAAUAAUUUAGAUAUAAGAACAUUUUCAUAUAUAUAUAGAAUAAGGAUGAGACAGAAGGACUAAAAUACUGGCAUCAAUAACAACACUAAGACCAAUAAAAUCUCAUAUUUCAAAAUUAGAAUUGAAAAAAAAUAUAAAAGAUUGAAGAUGCAAAGCAAAUAAAUUAAGUGUGAAUUGAAAACCUUAAUGCUAAGACUAAGAAUAAAUAAUUCAUCCCUUAAGACUAAUAGCUUCAUCAUCAUCCUUUGCUGCGAUAUGACUCUGGCUUGAAUUUAAAGAAGCAAAUAUGAAGUACUCAUCAUGCGAGAGAAAAUUACUUAGCUAAGAGAAGAAAUCAUUUACUUCAACCAAACUAUCCCCGGUAGAAAUAAAAGCCAAAAGAAUUAGAUUCAUUCAAAACAAAAAAUUGUAGGGAUUAGUUUUAUAAUUUUACUUAAAUUUUCAUUUCAUCAGGAGGACGUGGGUUCGAAUAUGUUGAAGUGCAUUAUGCUCCUAUUUAUGGGUUGGGGAGAGACUAAGCGUAGUUUUAGGCAUUGUAUCAAAAAAAAAAGAUUUGAUCAGAACCUAUAAUGUGAAAAGUUGUUACUAAAAAGUUUAAAAAAUAGAAUUUUUAGUUUCCUUUUGUUUAUUUAUUAUUUUUUUCAUAAUAUCUUUUAUCUAUAUUUGAAGUGUUUUGGGUUUAAUUUUUAAUCAUUAUAAUCAAAAACCCAAUUUUGUACUAAUAAAGCACACCAUUGUUAGUUUUUAGUGUUAUUUUUGAGGUAUUAUAUAUUUGUAUUUGACCUAUGUUUAUAAUGGUGAUCAGACCCGUUUUUAAUAUUUUUGAGACCCUAGGCGAAACAAUAAAUCGGGGUCUUGUUUAAAAAAUUAUUAAAUGUAAUACAAAAAAAUGAACCUUUUUUAUUUUAUAUUUUUUCUGCCUGCAAUAAAUCAAAAGACUAAAAAAGUUAAAAAAAUUUCACGUUAAAAAUUAAAAAAAGAAACUUUUUGCCCUAAAGUUGGGCUGACGGAGACUAGAAAACAACCCAACAAAUUCCAAUAAAAUCUCAUACUACAAAAUUGGAAUUAACAAAUGGAAAAACAAAAAGACAUUGGUAAAGCAAAAUAAGUGUGAAACAUGAACAAAUUGACAUGAAGACUAAGAAGAGAGUAUGAAAAAUUUUAAAAUUGUAAUUUAGGAUGACUUUAAAAUAUGGGGAAGAUUCAUGAAAAUUAAAUGGGCCUGAAAUCAAUGAUUUUGCAGUUUCUCUUUGUUGAUUUGGUGGAUGUUUCCCACUACUUUUAAUGGUUCCAAUUAUAUACUUGGAAAUUGGAAUUACUUUUGCCACUCAUUUCUCAUGUUGGUUUGGCCAAUAAAAGAUUAUUUGCAUAAAGCAACAAUGCGGCAAUAGGCUGCAAUAUUUCCACAUGCCUCUCAAACUUUUUACUCCAAUUUUAAGGAUUUUUUUUAUUUUUUAAAAAUUAACAUAUUUUUCUACCUUUCUUCUUUCUCUUCUCAUCCUCUCUUUCUCAAUCUCACCUCCCCAAAAAAUGCAAAAUAAAAAAAAUUAUUUUAAUUUUUAAAAAAUAUAAAUUUUGGAAUUUUUAUGAAUUUUUUGAAUUUUUUGAAAAGUAUUUUAAAUUAUUUUGUAAUUUUUGUUGAGAGAUAUCAAUUUGUUAAAUUUUAAAAUUGACAAUGACCAAAGGAGCAUGUACACCAAUUUAUUGUAUGAAUUGUUCGGGUUAUUUAAAUUAUAAAAUUCAACUCGAAAAUCAAAUUAUAAAUAUUUUUAAUAUUAUAAAACAUAAAAAUAUUAAGAUUAAAUAAUAAUAUAGAAAAGGAAUUUUUUUUCUCCAAAUUUCUCAUCCAAAUACAGUCUAAGAAAGCUUGAAAGCUGAAAUUUAAAAAUAUUAUUAUCUUAACUCGAUUUAAAAUUUUUUUGAGUCAAGUCGAGUGCAAAGAAAUUAGAGUUGAAUUGAAUCGAGUGAAAUUGUUUGAGUUAAACUAAAAAUUUUAAUAUGUCAAAUUGAAAUAUUUUUAUGGUAUAAUUAAUUUUAUGUUAGAGCACAUAAAUUUGAAACCAUAUAUAUAUAUUUGAAAACUUUUGUUGAAAAUUUUUAAUAAUAUAAACUCGAAACUUGAAUUAUAAAAAUAUUUAAUAAUAUAAAACAUAAAAAAUAUUAAAAUUAAAUAAUAAUAUAGAAAUAAAAAUUUUUCUUCAAAUUUCUCAUCCAAAUACAGUCUAGAAAAGUUUUAAAGAUGAAAUUUAAAUAUGUUUGUUUCAAAAGUGGAAAAUUCUAUAUAUUGAAUCAUCAAAAUUUUCACUUAUUGUGUUCAUCAAUCCAGCGAAGACUUAACUUGUACACAUUUCUUUGAUAAAUUAUAACUUAUUUACAAAUUCGAUACUCAUUAACAAAUUGAUAUUAUAUUUUAAGUUAAAUUAUUUUAAAUUAUUUUGUAAUUUUUGUUGAGAGAUAUCAAUUUGUUAAUUUUUAAAAUUAAUAGGGACUAAAGGAGUAUGUAUAUCAAUUUGUUGUUUGAAUUAUUUGUGUUUUUCAUCAUAAAAUUCAACUCGAAACUGGAAUUGUAAACAUAAAGAGAGCCUAAGCCUAAGGUCAUGCAAUCUUACUGAAUUUCCAGAAUUCAUUAAAAGGCAACCCAAGUUGGUUGACUUAGAUCUUUCUAAUAACCAUAUCCAUGGUUUUGUGCCCAAUUGGUUGUGGAAGAGCAGUCUUUCAUGGGUAGACCUUUCUUUCAAUGUGAUUGAUUUUCCAAAACAGCUUCCCUUAAAUGAUGCAAACUUCUCAUUUCCAAUGUUGGCAGACUUGGAUUUGAGAUCCUGCAACAUAAGUGCGUUUCCAGAGUUCAUCAAAACACAAGACAAGUUGGUUGACUUAGAUCUUUCUAACAAUCAUAUCCAUGGUGUUGUGCCUAAUUGGUUCUGGAAGAGCAGCCUUUCAAGGGUAAACCUUUCUUUCAAUGUGAUUGAUUUUCCAAAACAACUUCCCUUAAAUGAUGCAAACUUCUUAUUUCCAAUGUUGACAGGAUUGGAUUUGAGAUCCUGUAACAUAAGUGCGUUUCCAGAGUUCUUAAAGAGUCAAAAAAAUUUAGAAGAAUUCGACGCAUCUUAUAACAAUUUGAGUGGCCCAAUUCCAAAUUGGUUAUGCAAUAUGAGUCUACUUUACACUUUCGAUGCAUCUUAUAACAAUUUGAGUGGCUCAAUUCCAAAUUGCUUGGUCAAUAUGAGUCAACUUGAAACUUUCGAUGUAUCUUAUAACAAUUUGAGUGGCCCAAUUCCAAAUUGCUUGGGCAAUAUGAGUGCUCUGAUUUUGUUGGGUUUGCAAGGAAAUAACUUCAGUGGAAUGUUACCAAAAUUUUCAACAGCAACCCAACUGCAAUUUCUGAAAGUUAGUGAGAAUAGAUUGGAAGGGAAAGCAAAGGCACGGCGGUGGUCACGCUGGUCGUGGUGGCGCGACGGCGAUCAGGGCCCUUUCGCUGCUGCUUUCUUGACCCUUUUUUUGCUUCUUUUUUUUUGCGAAAAAAACUGAAACCCCCCCUUCUCUUCAAUUUUUCUUUUUAAUCCCUCCAAAAUUGUCUUCUUCCUCUUUGUUUUUAGGUGACAGGGGAAGAAAAUCAUGGCCUAGGGAGCUGCCGGAGUAGCUGGAAGUGGCAGGAGCAUGCUUGGAUGCCGAUUGGGUGAUUUGACAAGUCCAGAAGGACCAAAAUGUAGAAGACACAAAAUAUUUGGGGUAAAAAUGUGAUUUGGGGAAAAUAUAGGGCCAAGAUGUAAUUUUUUGAAAUUUUAAGGGUCAAAGUGUAAUUUACAAAAUAUUAGGGGUCAAUAUAUAAUUUUUGAAAAAUUUAGGGGCUAAAAUGUAAUUUAUUUUUUUGUAUUUUUUCAAAGUUUUAUUAUUACUAUUAAUAUUUAAAACAUAAAUUAAAAAUGGACUAAGACAAUUCCAAUAUUAAAUCCUAAUGGGCCCAAUCAUUGGGCCCAUACGAGGCCGACCCGGCCCAAAAUUCUAACCGGGCAAAAUUUAGUGAUUACAGUUAUUUUUGUGCAAUCAAAAUUUGGACAUUUGCAUGCAAUGCCAAAGACUUAAGAUAUUUCAUACUAUCAUUUUUCCCGAUCCAAAGUUAAAGAUAUUAAAAAUUUUAAAUUAGAAUGUUAUUUAUAAUUUGAGAAUUUGAGAUAGAAGGUGAAUUAACACUUUGAUAAAUCAUAACAUAUUUAUAAGAUGGAUACUCAUUAACAAGUUGAUUUUAUAUUAUAAGUUAAAUUUUAUUUUUUUUGGUGUUAUAACAAAAUUACCUUAGAAGAUUACAUUGUAAUUUUUUUAUUUUAAAAAAUGAUGUAGAAAUAAUUAUGUAUAACAUAAAAAAUGAUAAAGUUUGGCCAAGUUUAAAAUAUUUGUAACAUAAUUUUUUCUACAAAGUCCAUACUUAAUAUAUAUAAUUUAAACUUAAAAUCUCGGUUGAAGUAUUAUCUUUGCUUAUUUUAUACGUAGUGACGGUUCCAAUAAGAUUUAAAGUACAUUAUUAUUACUAUAAAUUUGUCUUUUUUAAUGACUUAGAUAUAGAAGAUUAUUUAUAUAGACUAAGGAGUGGGCAAGAAAACUAAAACCUCGGCAUUAAUAAGAAAAAUGACAUCAAUAAUAUAUUAAAAUCUCAUUCUUCAAAAUCAAUAAUAUAUUAUUCUUUAAUAAUAUAUUAAAACGCAAAUUAAAUGUGAAUUUAACAACUUAUUUCUAAUACUAACAACAAAUAAUUUAUGCUAUAAAUUAUUUAUUAUUAGUAUUAUUAUUAUUAUCCCUUGCUGGAAAAGGUUAACCAAAAAGACUUAGCUAAAGUGGUGGAACAUUAUUUUGAUGCAGUAUUGACUGGGCAAAAAGACUUGGAAAUUGCGUGCUAUGCCAAACAUGAAAACUACACAUUUGUGUAUAAAUAAGUUGUAUGCCAAGCACAAUCCUUCUUCACACCCAACAAACAUGAACACUCUUCAUUUCCUUAUUUCACUCUUCCUCUUCUCAUGCGUCCUUUCUCUUGUCAUGUCUUUUUCACCUCCUCAAACUCAUCUCCCUAAGCAAUGCCUUGAUGAUCAGAGAGCUCCUCUCCUGCAAUUGCAGCGUCAUCUUUACUGUGCCCCUAAUUUUACUUUCUCUUCCAAAUUUGACCUCUGGGAUGUCAACACUGAUUGUUGUUCUUGGGAAGGAGUCACUUGUGAUGCUUAUGGUCAUGUCGUUGGCAUUGAUCUUAGCAAUAAAAACCUUUCAGGCAGGUUUCACCCCAUAUUCAAUCUCCAUCGUCUUCAACACCUUAAUCUUGCUGGAAACAACUUUAAUACCACUAUGUUUUCCCAUGGGUUUCACAAACUCCAAAAUCUAACCCAUCUCAAUCUUUCAAGCUCAUGUUUCCAUGGCCAAAUUCCAGUGGAGAUCUCAUACUUAACGAGGUUAGUGUCUCUUGAUCUAUCUAAUCAAGGUUCUUGUUAUUUGCGAUACUACGCCAUUCUUGACCCAUAUAGAGGCGUCUACACCUACAAUGAUCCAUUGCCUUACGAACUUCAACAGCCUCUUAAAUUAGAGAAUCCAAACUUCAAGACAUUAAUCAAGAAUUUGAGGUUUCUCACAGAGCUUUAUUUGGAUGGGGUAAACAUUUCAACUCAAAGUGCUAAAUGGUGUGAAACCACAUCUCUUGUACUUUCCAACCUGCGUGUGUUGAGUCUGUCAAACUGUGGUUUGAAAGGUCCAUUAUGUUCUUCACUCUCAAGACUCUCUUUUCUUUCCAAACUUAUCCUUGAUGGGAACCCAAUCUCUUAUUUACCUCCCAAUUUCUUGGAAAUUUCCUCUCGUUUGGUUUCUCUCAGUUUGAGGAACUGCUAUUUGAGUGGCCAUUUUCCAACUGAAAUUCUCUUAUCGCCAAAAAUUCAAAGCAUUGACAUUUCAUUGAACCACCAACUUAUGGGUCAGUUGCCAGAAUUUCCAGCAAACAAUGCAUUACUGAGUCUGUCACUUUAUUUUACAAAUUUCAGUGGAAAACUGCCUGAAUCGAUUGGUAAUCUUAAGUUCCUGACAAAUUUAGAGCUUUCUUAUUGCAAUUUUUUUGGACCUAUUCCAUCGUCAAUUACGAAUCUUAGUCACCUGGUCAACCUAUAUCUGGGAGGGAACAUGCUUUCUGGAUCAAUACAUUCUUCUUUAUUCACUCUUCCAUCAUUAAAGACCCUGUCUCUUGGAGAAAAUCACUUGGUUGGGAAAAUUGAUGAGUUCCCCAAUGCAUCUUCUUCUUUGAUUCAAGAACUAUAUAUAGGCAAUAAUUAUUUAACAGGACCAAUCCCAAAGUCAAUCCUUCAACUUCCAAGGCUUGAAUGGCUUUAUAUUGAAAGCAAUAGCUUCAGUUCCAUGAAGCUUGACAUGUUUGUCCAACUCAAGAACUUGAGGUAUCUGACUCUGUUCAACACAAGCUUGUUAAUUGAAAGCGACAGCAGAAGUCUUCCUUUUCCACAAUUAGAGAGCCUAACCCUAAGGUCAUGCAACCUUACUGAAUUUCCAGAAUUCAUUAAAAGGCAAGACAAGUUGGUUGACCUCGAUCUUUCUAACAGCCAUAUCCAUGGUUUUGUGCCCAAUUGGUUGUGGAAGAGCAGUCUUUCAUGGGUAGACCUUUCUUUCAAUGUGAUUGAUUUUCCAAAACAGCUUCCCUUGAAUGAUGCAAACUUCUCAUUUCCAAUGUUGAAAGAAUUGCGUUUGAGAUCCUGUAACAUAAGUGCGUUUCCAGAGUUCAUCAAAACACAAGACAAGUUAGUUGUGUUAGAUCUUUCUAACAACCAUAUCCAUGGUGUUGUGCCUAAUUGGUUGUGGAAUAGCUCUCUUUCAGGGGCAAACCUUUCUUUCAAUGUGAUUGAUUUUCCAAAACAGCUUCCCUUAAGUGAUUUAAACUUCUCUUUUUCAAUGUUGAGGGAAUUGUAUCUGGAAUCUUGUAACAUAAGAUCAUUUCCAGAGUUCUUAAAGAGUCAAGAAAAUUUAGAAUAUCUCGAUCUUUCAAAUAAUAAAAUAAGUGGUGCAAGUCCAAACUGGGUGUGGAAGAAAAGUUUGCGGUAUCUGUUUCUUGCAAAUAACCAUCUCUCAUCUUUGGACCAACUUUUACCCAAUCAGAGUUCAACUUCUUCACAAGACUCUUUCUAUUUCGACGCAUCUUAUAACAAUUUGAGUGGCCCAAUUCCAAAUUGGUUAUGCAAUAUGAGUCAACUUCGCGGUUUUGAUGCAUCUUAUAACAAUUUGAGUGGCUCAAUUCCAAAUUGCUUGAACAAUAUGAGUCAACUUGAAACUUUCGAUGUAUCCUAUAACAAUUUGAGUGGCCCAAUUCCAAAUUGCUUUGGCAAUAUGAGUGCUCUGAUUUGGUUGAUUUUGCAAGGAAAUAACUUCAGUGGAAUGUUACCAAAAUUUUCAAAAGCAACCCACGUAUAUAUUCUGAAAGUUAGUGAGAAUAGAUUGGAAGGGAAGUUGCCCAGAUCAUUAGCUGAAUGCACUCAGCUUGAAGUUUUGGACGUGGGAAACAACAAGAUGAAUGAUACAUUCCCUUUUUGGUUGGAGAAAUUGCCUUACUUGACGGUUCUAAUAUUGCGGGAAAACAGAUUUUAUGGUCAAAUUAAACAUAGAUUUGUUUUCCCAACUUUGGAUGUGUUGGACAUUGCUUCAAACCAGUUUUCUGGUGAACUAUCCAUUGAUUUCCUUCAACCCACUCGACUAAGGUCACUCAAAAUUGGUGGGAAUAAAUUGGAAGGGAAGUUGUCGAGAUCAUUAGCCAAUUGUACAGCACUUGAGGUUCUGGACCUCGGAAAUAAUAUGGUUCAUGAUACAUUCCCAUUUUGGCUAGAGAAGCUACCUUCCUUGAAGGUUCUCGUUUUGCGAGCAAACAGAUUCUACGGCACAAUUUCAAAAAUCGACACGGAGCGUGGGUUUCCAAAGCUACGCAUAUUGGACAUUGGUUCCAAUCAUUUUUCAGGUGACUUGUCCAUUGAAUUUUUGCAGAGUUUGAAGGCAAUGGCGAAGAUGACUAAGGACGAAAAGGUUAAGCGGGUUUACAUUGGGGACGUCUAUUAUAAAGAUUCUGUGACAAUUGUUAACAGGGGGGUUGAACUAUUUUACCAAAAAAUCUUAACUGUUCUUACUUGUCUUGACCUUUCCAACAAUAGUUUCCAUGGGAGAAUACCAGAAGAGAUACAAAUGCUGAGGUCACUCAGAGUGAUGAACUUAUCCAACAAUGGCUUUUCUGGUGAAAUCCCAUUAGCACUUGAAAAUCUAAAAGAUCUUGAAUCUUUGGAUCUCUCACAGAAUGAGCUGUCAGGGAAGAUUCCUGCACAACUUACAAGUUUAACUUUCUUAGCAGCAUUGAAUUUGUCUUACAACCUACUUGAAGGGAGCAUACCGCAAGGCAACCAAUUCAGUACAUUUUCAAAUGAUUCUUACCGUGGGAAUCCAAAAUUAUGCGGUCCACCAUUGUCCAAGAAAUGCAAUGAAGUUGGUCUUCCAAAGCCACCACCUCUAGGGGAAGAUGAAGAUUCAUGGUGAUAUGCUGUGUCUACUUGGAAAAUUGCGUUGAUAGGUUAUGCUAGUGGAUUAGUCGUUGGGCUAUGUAUUGGAUAUACAGUGCUGAAUGAGUUGGGAAACAAAUGGGUUGACAAGUUCAAAAAGUGUGGGAAAAGAAAUAGGAGGAGAUGUAGGUGACUCCAUCAGAAUUCUUGCUUCAAAAUUAGCUGGUAAGCAUUUGUCUUUCUAAUUUGAACAGAUAGUUGUUGAUAUAUAUAUAGGUUUUCAUAACCUCAUUUUUUGCUGUCUUUACCAAGUUCACUAUCAUACCGUACUUGUAAUUUUAUGUUACCAUUGAGGUACAUGAAUAAUCUAGGCAGUGAUCCUAACAAUGAUCCUAACAGCUGAGGAGAUUUGAUGGCUUGAUGCUGAUGAAAGCUUUUUCUGAUGGACAUUGGACUGAUUGUGUCAAGAGAUGCAGAUGUUGCUACUCCCACCCUUUGCUCUUCCAAAGAGACAUUAGCUUUAUAUUUUAUCAAUCACGUGUUGGGGUUUAGGAUCGGGUGUAAAGGGUGGACCUAUUGGUCCGGGUUUUAGUUCAACCCGACACUUAUUUUUAUACUAGUUUAUUUAUAGUUUCAGUGAUAGUUUUAUUAAUUUUAAAAAUAUAGUUGAAUUAGAUAAUAAUAUGAUAAAAAUAAAAAUAAAAAUAAAAAUUGUCACAGGGGCCUUUCAGUUUCGACGCAUCUUCUAACAAUUUGAGUGGCCCAAUUCCAAAUUGGUUAUGCAAAAUGAGUCGACUCGGCCGUUUUGAUGUAUCUUAUAACAGUUUGAGUGGCCCAAUUCCGAAUUGCUUGGGCAAUAUGAGUGCUCUCUAUUCGUUGGAUCUGCAAGGAAAUAACUUCAGUGGAAUGAUGCCAAAAUUUUCAAAAGCAACCCAACUGUCGUUUCUCAAAGUUAGUGAGAAUAGAUUGGAAGGGAAGUUGCCCAGAUCAUUAGCUGAAUGCACUCAGCUUGAAGUUUUGGACGUGGGAAGCAACAAGAUGAAUGAUACAUUCCCUUUUUGGUUGGAGAAAUUGCCUUACUUGACGGUUCUAAUAUUGCGGGAAAACAGAUUUUAUGGUCAAAUUAAACAUUUCAAACAUAAAUCUGUUUUCCCAACUUUGGAUGUAUUGGACAUUGCUUCAAACCAGUUUUCUGGUGAACUAUCCAUUGAUUUCCUUCAACCCACUCGACUAAGGUCACUCAAAAUAGGUGGGAAUAAAUUGGAAGGGAAGCUGUCGAGAUCAUUAGCCAAUUGCACAGCACUUGAGGUUCUGGACCUUGGAAAUAAUAUGGUUCAUGAUACAUUCCCAUUUUGGUUAGAGAAGCUACCUUCCUUGAAGGUUCUCGUUUUGCGAGCAAACAGAUUCUACGGCACAAUUUCAAAAAUUGACACGAAACGUGGGUUUCCAAAGCUACGCAUAUUGGACAUUGCUUCCAACAAUUUUUCAGGUGACUUGUCUAUUGAAUUUUUGCAGAGUUUGAAGGCAAUGGCGGAGAUGACUAAUGAUGAAAAGGCUACGCUGGAUUAUAUCGGAGAGAAUUAUUAUCAAGACUCUGUGACAAUUGUUAACAGAGGGAUUGAAAUGUUGUACCAAAAAGUCUUGACAAUUCUUACUUGUCUUGACCUUUCCAACAAUAGUUUCCAUGGGAGAAUACCAGAAGAGAUACAAAUGCUGAGGUCACUCAGAGUGAUAAACUUAUCCAACAAUGGCUUUUCUGGUGAAAUCCCAUUAGCACUUGAAAAUCUAAAAGAUCUUGAAUCUUUGGAUCUCUCACAGAAUGAGCUGUCAGGGAAGAUUCCUGCACAACUUACAAGUUUAACUUUCCUGGCAGCAUUGAACUUGUCAUGCAACCAACUUGAAGGGAGCAUACCACAAAGCAACCAAUUCAUUACAUUUACAAAUGAUUCCUACCGUGGGAACCCAAAAUUGUGUGGGCUGCCAUUGUCAAGGAAAUGCAAUGAAGUUAGUCUUCCAAUGCCACCACCUCCAGGGGAAGGUGAAGAUUCAUGGUUAAAUGCUCUGUCUACUUGGAAAAUUGCGUUGAUAGGUUAUGCUAGUGGAUUAAUCGUUGGGCUAUGUAUUGGAUAUACAGCGCUGAAUGAGUUGGGAAACAAAUGGGUUGACAAGUUCAAAAAGUGUGGGAAAAGAAAUAGAAGAAGAUGUAGGUGACUCCGUCAGAAUUUUUGCUUCAAAAUUAGCUGGUAAGCAUUUGUCUUUCUAAUUUGAACAGAUAGUUGUUGAUAUAUAUAUGUAUAUAUAUAGGUUUUCAUAACCUCAUUUUUUGUUGUCAUUACCAACUUCACUAUCAUAUCGUACUUGUAAUUUGAUGUUACCAUUGAGCAAUGCAGGAGGUACUUGAAGUAGGAAAUGGAAUGUACAGUUGUGAGGUUCAUGAAGAAUGUAGGCAAUGAUCCUAACAAGAUCAAUCCACUGGUUUGUAGUUUUGCUUUAUAUGCACUUUUUUCCUGUUGUAGUUUUCUAUGAGUAUAAAUAAGUGUUUAUUCAUUUUGCAUCCAGGUCCCUGUGGAUUUGGGGGAUGCAAUGUUUCACUGCUACUGAAUUUCCAUGCUAAUAAUGAUAUUAUAAACAAGGAAAUGUCUGCCCAAGCUUUCUUUUAUAUGCAAUUCACUUCAAUUUUUUUAUCUUCAGAAUAUUUGUACAGCUGAGGAGAUUUGAUGGCAUGAUGUUGGUGAAAGCCAUAUUUGACGGACAUUGGACUGAUUGUGUAAAGAGACGCAGAUGCUGCUACUCCCAUCCUUUGCUCUUCCAAACAGACAUGAGUUUUAUAUUUUAUGAAUCACGUGUUGGGCUUUAGGACCGGGUGUAAAGGGUGGACCUGUUGGUCCGGGUUUUAGUUCAGCCCGUCACUUAUUUUUAUACUAGUUUAUUUAUACUUUCAAGGAUAGUUUUAUUAAUUUUAAAAAUAUGGUUGAAUUAAGUAAUAAUAUGAUAAAAAUAAUAAAAAUAAUAAAAAUUUUAUCAAAUAAAUUAUUUCUUAAAAUCUAGUAUGCUUUCCAAUGUUAGCCAAAGGCCAACAAUAUCUCACACUAAUAUUUUCUUUGUUAGUCCAAAAUUAAAAAUUUCAAAUUAGGAUGUAACUUAUAGUUUGAGGGCUUAAUCAAAAUUUUUUUUAAAAAUUUAGAAAUCAAUUUAAAAUUUAAUCCAUAAUUUAAGGAAUUAACCUUUUGGUAAAUCCUAACAUAUUCAGAAGUUCCAUACUCAUUAAUAAAGAGUGAACCUGUUGGUCUAGGUUUUAUGUUAAUUUUAUCACGAAAUUUUAAUUUUAUUUCAUUUUAGUCCCGUGAGAAACGGUGCGCAUAAGGGCAAGGUAUAUUCUCCUAUUCGGUCCCUAUUCUUUUUAGCAUGUUAUAUUUUAAUUCUUAUUAGCCUUUUUUAUUUACAAUUUAUACUCCUUAAUUUUAUUCCGAUUUCAAUAUGAUCCUUAGUUUAUUUAACUUCAAUUUUUUUUACAAACUGUUUCAUUUAUUAUUUAUUUAUUUAUUUUCAAUUUUUAAUAAAAUGUUUUAUUGGUAGUCACCUUUUUAUUUAUUUAUUUACUUAUUGCUUCCUUUGUUUUUUAUUUUUAAUUGGCUUGCUUUUUGUAUUUUCCUUUUAUUGUGCAUUUUUUGGCGGCACUUACCACAAAGCGCCGCAAAUAGUAAGCAUUAGCGGCGUUUUGAAAUAAGUGCCACUAACUCUAAUAUACGUCAAGGCCAAACUCUGCGUUUUGGUUAGGAUACUUUGCGGCGCUUUCCACAAGCGCCGCUACUACUAUAGUUUAGCGGCGUUUUCCAAUAAGCGCCACUAAUUCUAAUAUACCUCAAGACCAAACUCCGCGUUUUGGUUAAGAUAUUUUGAGGCGCUUACAACCAAACGCUGCUAUUACUAUGCUUUAGUGGCGUUUUCCUUAAACGCCACUAAUUAUAAUAUACAUCAAGACCAAAACGCUGCGUUUUGGUUAAGAUGUUUUGCGGCAUUUAACGCUCAGCGCCGCUAAUACUAUACAUUAGCGGCGUUUUCUUUAUAAGCACCACUAAUUGUAAUAUACAUCAACACCAAACUCUGCGUUUUGGUUAACAUCUUUUGCGGCGCUUCCGCUAAGCGUCGCUAAUACUAUGCAUUACCGGCGUUUGUUCGUAAGCGCCACUAAUUCUAAUAUACAUCAAGACCAGAACACUGCGUGUUGGUCUUGAGAUUCUACGGCACUGUGUGGUAAACGCCACUAAUGAUGUUUUUUUUAUGGCGUUUGUUCGGGAAACGCCACUAUUCAUCCGACUUUUUGCGGCGUUUUAAAAGAAGCGCCGCUAAUGCUAGAUCUUUAGCGGCGUUGUAUUCUUUGCGCCACUAAUGCUCGAUUUUUAGCGGCGUUUGUAAUCCAAACGCCACAAAAUAUGCCGCUAAAAGCCUGUUCUGGUGUAGUGUUAGAGUUGAGCCCAUAAUUUGGGGUGUUGGAUUUAAUUAAACCCGUUGGUAGAUCAUAGCAUAUUUAUAAGUUGGGAUUUAGGAGUACUCAUUUAUUUUUGAUGAUUUUUAUGAGUGUUACAUAACAUCCUUUAUGUAUAUAUAUUUGAAGUUGUUUGAGUUUGAUAUUUAAUCAUUAGAAUUAAAAAUCCAAUUCUCUACUAAUAAAUCAAACAAUUGUUUUUUUUAGUGUUAUUUUUGAGCUCUUAUGUAUUUGUAUUUUACCUAUGUUUAUAGUGUUGACUGGUCAAAAUUAUAGGGUAUAUAAAAAACAUUAUUGUGUAAAAUUGUUUGAUUUAAAUUAAAAAAUAAAUAUGUCAAAUUAAAAUUUUAUUAUAGUAUAAUUAAUAUUUGAAAUCAUAAAUAUUAGAAAACUGUUUCAAAGCAAAAUAAUAAAAAAUUAUUAUAGUCUUUACAUAAUAUAAAUUUUAGAAUUUUUAUGAAUAUUUUAACUUUAAAAAUAUUUUAAUAUAUUUUUGUAAUUUUUGUUGAGAGAGAAUAUUAAUUUGUUAAUUUUUAAAAUUGACAAGAAUCAAAGGAGUAAAUAUAUCAAUCUGUUAUUUGAAUUAUUCGAAUUAUUUAAAUUAUAAAAUUCAACUCGAACCUCGAAUUAUAACUAUUUUUAAUAUUAUAAAAUAUUAAAAUAUUAAAAUUAAAUAAUAAUUAAAUAAUAAUAUAGAAAUGAAAAUAUUUCUCAAGCUUUAAGAAAGUUUGAAAGCUGAAAUUUAAAAAUGUAUCUUUCAAAAGUGAAAAAUUCUAUAUAUUCUAUCAUCAAAAUUUCCACUUAUUGUGUCCAUCAAUCUAUAAGGUGACUUGACUUGUACACAUUGGUUAAACAUUAUUUUUGUGCAAUAAAAACUUGGACAUUUGCAUGCAAUGCCAAAGACUUAAUACCUAAAUUAAAAGGCCUAUAAUAUUUCAUACUACAAUUUUUUCUGGUCCUAAAUUAAAGAUUUUAAAAUUUUCAAAUUAAAACCAUUAUGAUUUAAAAUUAUUAUAGUUUUUACAAAAUAUAAAUUUGAGAAUUUUUAUGAAUAUUUUGAUUUUAAAAAUUAUUUAAAAUUUUAUUUGAAAACUUUUGUUGAGAGAGAUCAAUUUGUUAAUUUUUAAAAUUGACAGGGACCAAAGGAGCAUGUACAUCAAUUUAUUGUUUGAAGUAUUUGAGUUAUUUAAAUUGUAAAAUUCAACUCGAAACUCGAAUUAUAAAAAUAUUUAUUAAUAUAAAACAUAAAACAUAAAAAUUAAAUAUUAAAAAAAUGACAUCAAUAAUAUAUUAUUCUCUAAUAAUAUAUUAAAACGCAAAUUAAAUGUGAAUUUAACAACUUAUUUCUAAUACUAACAACAAAUAAUUUAUGCUAUAAAUUAUUUAUUAUUAGUAUUAUUAUUAUUAUUAUCCCUUGCUGGAAAAGGUUAACCAAAAAGACUUAACUAAAGUGGUGGAACAUUAUUUUGAUGCAGUAUUGACUGGGCAAAAAGACUUGGAAAUUGCAUGCUAUGCCAAACAUGAAAACUACACAUUUGUGUAUAAAUAAGUUGUAUGCCAAGCACAAUCCUUCUUCACACCCAACAAACAUGAACACUCUUCAUUUCCUUAUUUCACUCUUCCUCUUCUCAUGCUUCCUUUCUCUUGUCUUGUCUUUUUCACCUCCUCAAUCUCAUCUCCCUAAGCAAUGCCUUGAUGACCAGAGAGCUCCUCUCCUGCAAUUGCAGCAUCAUCUUUACUAUGCCCCUCAUUUUACUUUCUCUUCCGAAUUUGACCUCUGGGAUGUCAACACUGAUUGUUGCUCUUGGGAAGGAGUCACUUGUGAUGCUUAUGGUCAUGUCGUUGGCAUUGAUCUUAGUUACAAAAACCUUUCAGGCAGCUUUCACCCCAUAUUCAAUCUCCAUCGUCUUCAACGCCUUAAUCUUGCUGGAAACAACUUUAAUACCACUCUGUUUUCCUAUGGGUUUGAUAAACUCCAAAAUCUAACUCAUCUCAACCUUUCAAGCUCAUGUUUCCAUGGCCAAAUUCCAAUGAACAUCUCACACCUAACAAGGUUAGUCUCUCUGAACCUAUCUUAUCAAGAUGAUUGCUAUUGGAGAAAUGGUUACGAUUAUAACUCAGCUACUUUAAAAUUGGAGAAACCAAACUUCAAGACAUUUAUCAAGAAUUUGAAGUUUCUCACGGAGCUUUAUUUGGAUGGUGUCGACAUUUCAACUCAAAGUACUAAAUGGUGUGAAACCACAUCUCUUGUACUUCCAAACCUGCAUGUGUUGAGUCUGUCAAGCUGUGGUUUGAAAGGUCCAUUAUGUUCUUCACUCUCAAGACUCUCUUUUCUUUCCAAACUUAUCCUUGAUUGGAACCCAAUCUCUUAUUUACCUCCCAAUUUCUUGGAAAUUUCCUCUCGUUUGGUUUCUCUCAGUUUGAGGAACUGCAAUUUGAGUGGCCAUUUUCCAACUGAAAAUCUCUUAUCGCCAAAAAUGCAAAGCAUUGACAUUUCAGAUAAUGACCAACUUAUGGGUCAGUUGCCAGAAUUUUCAUCAAACAAUUCUUUACAGAGUUUGUCGCUUUCUUAUACAAAUUUCAGUGAAAAACUACCCCAAUCAAUUGGUAACCUCAAGUUCCUGACAAAUUUAGAGCUUGAUGAUUGCAAUUUUUUUGGACCCAUUCCAUCGUCAAUUGCAAAUCUUAGUCACCUGGUCAACCUAUAUCUAGGAGGGAACAAGCUUUCUGGAUCAAUACAUUCUUCUUUAUUUACUCUUCCAUCGUUGAAGAUCUUGUAUCUUGGAGAAAAUCAAUUGGUUGGGAAAAUUGAUGAGUUCCCCAAUGCAUCUUCUUCUUUGAUUCAAGAAUUAUAUAUAGGCAAUAAUUAUUUAAAAGGAACAAUCCCAAAAUCAAUCCUUCAACUUCCAAGGCUUGAAUGGCUUUAUAUCCGAGACAAUAGCUUCAGUUCCAUGAAGCUUGACAUGUUUGUCCAACUCAAGAACUUAAAGGGUCUCUACUUAUCCAACGUAAGCUUGUUAAUUGACAGCGACAACGGAAGUCUUACUUUUCCCCAAUUAGAGAGCCUAGGGCUAAAGUCAUGCAACCUUACUGAAUUUCCAGAAUUCAUUAAAAGGCAAGACAAGUUGGUUGACUUAUAUCUUUCUAGCAAUCAUAUCCAUGGUGUUGUGCCCAAUUUGUUGUGGAAGAGCAGUCUUUCAUGGGUAGACCUUUCUUUCAAUAUGAUUGAUUUUCCAAAACAGCUUCCCUUAAAUGAUGCUAACUUCUCAUUUCCAAUGUUGAAAGUAUUGCAUUUGAGGUCUUGUAACAUAAGUGCGUUUCCAGAGUUCAUCAAAAC